UAUUUAAUUAAUUCUACUAAUAAUUAUAUACUUAUUUUAAAGAUUAAGCUAUAUAUAUCUAAAUUUAAGUAAUUAAACUACAAAACUACAAAUAGCUUAUUAAAUUAAUUAUAAUUUAUUUAAUAGUACCUUACUAUAUAAAUAACCAUAGUAAUUCUAGAGCUAAUAUAUACUAAAAACCCCGACUUCGGAAGGGGUAUAUUUAUUAAAUUAAAAACUAAUACCCUUCGGGGCUAAUUAAUAAUUUAUAAUAAUUUCUCGAAUUGUAUAGCUUUAUACUAGCGAUAAUUCAUUCAAAUUUCUACCCUAUUAAUUUUCAAUAGUUAAAUUUUAGCCAACUAUAGUAACAACGAAUAACGGAGGGUUAAAACUCAACCCCAGAGAAGGAGCCUAAGAAAUAGCUACUAUAUCUAAAGAAAGUAGUAAACGUAUAAAUUACCCAAUUCUAAUAUAAAAAGGUAAUAAUAAUAAAUAUUAAUAUAAAGCUCUUUUAAAUCUUAUAAUUAGAAUAAAUACAAUUUAAAUCCCUUAACGAAGAAUAAUUAGAAAGUAAGUCUAAUACUAGUAACUGUAAUAAUUCCAAUUCUAAUAACGUAUAUUAAAAUUAUUAAGGUUAAAAAGCUUGUAAUUGAACCUUAAGCUCGGCCUAUUAAUCCGCCUCACCGCGUAUACUAACUAAAUUGGGCCUUUUUUCCUAGAGAACUAUAUACCCUUUACUAAGUAUAUCGGAGAAUUAGGACUUUUACUAUAAAUAAAUUAAAUUACUUAAAGAAGGCCUAUAUUCGAAUAUACUAAUAUAGAAUAAUAGAAUAGGACGUAUAGUUCUAUUUUAUUAAUUUCUAGGACCGCCGUAAUAAUUAAUAGGGAUAAUUAGGGGUAUUAAUAUUCAAUUAUUAGAAGUAAAAUUCUUAGAUUUAUUAAAAACUAACUACUAUAAAAGUAUUUACUAAGAAUAUUUUUAUUAAUUAAAAACGAAAAUUAAAGGAUCGAAGACAAUUAAAUACUAUUGUAAUUUUAAUUAUAAACUAUAUUAAUUAAAGAUCGGACAAUAUUAUUUUUUAACCCGUUCGGUACCUUACAAUAAAUUAAAAUAUUUAGGCUCCUAAGAGAGUAUAAUUACAAAACUAAAACUUAAAGAAAUUAAUAGAAGGGUACUACCAAAGGUAGAGCCUAUAGUUUAAUUUAAUUCAAUAUAAGGAAAUUCACUAAGUCUAAAUACAAUAAAAAUUAACAAAUUAAAAACUCUUUCUUAAUUUUGUAAAUAAUAGUAUAUAACUAUUCUUAAUUAGUAGAGUAAUUUAUCUAUUUAAUUAUAAUAACAAACGAAACCUUAACCUACUAAAUAACCUAUAUUACUUUAAUAAUAUACUAACUUCUUAAAGGAAUUAUCGGCUUAAACUAAUAGAAGUUUAAAGCAAUAACAAAUUUAUAAUACCCUUAAAUAUUCUAAGCCGUACGCGUACUAUAUUAAUAUAAUUAAUAAAUACUCCCUUAGCCGGAAGGUCCGAAUAAUCUUAUUAAACUAUAUUAUAUUAGGGAUAAAGUAUUAUAAUUAUUAUUCUUCAAUAAAAAAUCCCUAAUAAAUACAAAUUAUUAAUUUAUAUUAAUUAUAUCCCUACCCUUUAUAUACACCGCCUAUCGCUACUACUAAUUAAAUAGUUUAAUAAAAUUUCCGGACUAACCUAAGGAAAUUAAUAAUAACUACCCAAAACCGGAAAACUAUCCAAACUCAAUUAUUUAAAGGAAAUAAAAGUCGUAACAAAAUCUCCGUUAAUAAACUAAUAGAAAGAUUAUUA
rfam:Neurospora crassa OR74A unplaced genomic scaffold supercont12.19, whole genome shotgun sequence.